rnacentral:rRNA from 1 species
AUUGAACGCUGGCGGCAUGCUUUACACAUGCCAGUCGAACGGUAACAGGCCGCAAGGUGCUGACGAGUGGCGAACGGGUGAGUAAUGCAUCGGAACGUGCCCAGUCGUGGGGGAUAACUACUCGAAAGAGUAGCUAAUACCGCAUACGAUCUAUGGAUGAAAGCGGGGGACCGUAAGGCCUCGCGCGAUUGGGGCGGCCGAUGUCAGAUUAGGUAGUUGGUGGGGUAAAGGCUCACCAAGCCAACGAUCUGUAGCUGGUCUGAGAGGACGACCAGCCACACUGGGACUGAGACACGGCCCAGACUCCUACGGGAGGCAGCAGUGGGGAAUUUUGGACAAUGGGCGCAAGCCUGAUCCAGCAAUGCCGCGUGCAGGAAGAAGGCCUUCGGGUUGUAAACUGCUUUUGUACGGAACGAAACGGCUCUGGUUAAUACCCGGGGCUAAUGACGGUACCGUAAGAAUAAGCACCGGCUAACUACGUG